rnacentral:rRNA from 1 species
CCUACGGGAGGCAGCAGUGGGGGAUAUUGCACAAUGGGGGAAACCCUGAUGCAGCGACGCCGCGUGGGUGAAGAAGCGCCUCGGCGCGUAAAGCCCUGUCAGCAGGGAAGAAAAUGACGGUACCUGAAGAAGAAGCCCCGGCUAACUACGUGCCAGCAGCCGCGGUAAUACGUAGGGGGCAAGCGUUAUCCGGAGUUACUGGGGGUAAAGGGGGCGCAGACGGCGAUGCAAGCCAGGAGGUAAAGCCCGGGGCCCAACCCCGGGACUGCUCUUGGAACUGCGGGGCUAGAGUGCAGGAGGGGCAGGCGGAAUUCCUGGUGUAGCGGUGAAAUGCGUAGAUAUCAGGAAGAACACCGAUGGCGAAGGCGGCCUGCUGGACUGCAACUGACGUUGAGGCCCGAAAGCGUGGGGAGCAAACAGGAUUAGAUACCCUAGUAGUC